UGUGGGAGCGAGCCUGCUCGCGAUGGCGGUAAGUCAGUUUCAGAUGUGCUGGCUGACCCACCGCUAUCGCGAGCAGGCUCGCUCCCACA
rnacentral:misc_RNA from 1 species